AUACCUUUCUCAGCCUUUUGGCUAAGAUCAAGUGUAGUAUCUGUUCUUAUCAGUUUAAUAUCUGAUAUGUGGGCAAUAUGCCUAUAAUGCCAUUUCCUAUCAACAAUCGUAUCGAGUUGUUAUGCAUAGCAUCUGGGGCUUUUGGGCAUUUGACUUUUGAGCUAUGGUGUUAAUACUGGGCCGCUCUUUAAUGCCAGGCAGUUAACAUAGCAU
rnacentral:snRNA from 1 species